rnacentral:rRNA from 1 species
CCUACGGGUGGCAGCAGUCGAGAAUCUUUCACAAUGGGGGAAACCCUGAUGGAGCGACGCCGCGUGGAGGAUAAGGUCUUCGGAUUGUAAACUCCUGUCAUGGAGAACCUAGUAUCGCAAGAGGAAGAGACGGCUAACUCUGUGCCAGCAGCCGCGGUAAUACAGAGGUCUCAAGCGUUGUUCGGAAUCACUGGGCGUAAAGGGUGCGUAGGUGGCGGGGAAAGUCAGAUGUGAAAUCCGGAGGCUCAACCUCCGAAUUGCAUCCGAUACUCCCUCGCUAGAGGGUUGUAGGGGAGCUUGGAAUUCUCGGUGUAGCAGUGAAAUGCGUAGAUAUCGAGAAGAACGCUCGCAGCGAAGGCGAAGCUCUGGGCACUCUGACACUGAUGCACGAAGGCUAGGGGAGCAAACGGGAUUAGAUACCCUUGUAGUC